GAAUUUCACUGGGCACUGUUCUAUUGUGAUGGCUUCACUGAGGAGGAUUGUGGGAAGAAAGGGUACCUAGGUGGGUUGGAAUUUCACUGGGCACUGUUCUAUUGUGAUGGCUUCACUGAGAUUGUUGGUCUUCUCUAAACUCCAGGAAUGUUCAGAGCCUUGGGCCCUCACUCCCCUCAGCUGACCAGGCUCCCAGGAGCUUGCCAGUCCCGGGGACGUUCAGGCCAUUUGCUUCAUGCAUGAUACCCACACAUUCUCUCCAAAUCCCUGCUCUCCACAUGGGGAGCAGUGAUUACAUGGUGCUGGUUAAGUGGCUGCAUUUCAAAGUUCAUUUAGUUUCUUCCCCAUUCCAAGAGGCAGGGCUGGGGCCACCAGAAUCUUACGUCUCUGGCUUGGGUUUCAGCUCCCAGCCACUCUCUUUUACAGAGCCCACAAAGCAUGGACGGCCACCCAGCCUUCCCGGUUUACAUGAUCAUGGGGAGAGCCUGUCAAAAGCAACUGCACAGAGCCUGUGCUUAAGAUGGCAGGAUCGCAAGACAGAGCAACUGGAGCAAGUCCUCAUUAAGAAGAGCCGCCCGAUGCAUUUGGACUGCGAUAUGUUACGCCCAUGAGAUUUCAGGGUUAAUUUGUUACCUGGCCGUGGCCUAUCCUCUUCCAGCAGAUACAGAGGCUACUGCAGUUUGCAACUUUGCAGAUACCAGCAGAGGAAGAAAAACAUGGGAGACUGCUGCUAACCUAAUGUGGAAACUUAAACUUCAGCCAAAGGCGGAAUCUUAAUAUGGAGGGGCCUGGCUCUGCAGGGAGGUCACCUGGGCUGGCUGGAUUUCAAUCCAGUUACACAGCAAAAGUUACAACCCAAGCUUUGGCGAUGCUGAGCCUUCUACUCUCAGGGAUUCCAAAGCAUUUGAUAAACUCUUUGUUCCAUUGUUUACUGACUUCCUAGUGCUUGUCUUGUUCUGCAGUUAUUUAUUUUUAUUUAUUAGUUUACUUAUGAUCUACCCCUCUCUCCCAUCUACCCGCAACCUGAAGGUAAGGUGCAGGAAGUUAGGGCCUUUGCUUUGUAUGCCAUUACAUUCCCCCUCCCCAGGGAAGGGGUUAGCAUGAUGGUAGGAACUGUUCCCUCUUGGUGAUGGAUAAGUGACUGGAGCAGAAUCCACUUCUGCUGAGAAGAUCUGGAUGACCACGGAUAAGCAGGAAGGCGUGUGACAUACUGGCAAGUGAGUCAGACAGAAAGAGAGAUGUGGGAUCGAGUCCUGGCAUUGCCCUUUCUAGCUAUUGUGUCCUUGGACAGGUAAUUUAGCUUCCCUGAGUCUGUUUUCUCAUCUGAAAAAUGAAGGUAGUAAUAAUUAUCCUCAUGGGGCUAUUGAAAAAGUUAAAAUAAGAUAAUACAAGCAAAGCAAAGCAUU